UGCUUUCACUACUGUAAAUCGCUCUGGAUAAGAGUGUCUGCUAAAUGACUAAAA
rfam:Salmo salar isolate Sally breed double haploid chromosome ssa11, whole genome shotgun sequence.